rnacentral:rRNA from 1 species
UACGUAGGGCGCAAGCGUUAUCCGGAAUUAUUGGGCGUAAAGAGCUUGUAGGCGGUUUGUCGCGUCUGCCGUGAAAAUUCGAGGCUCAACCUCGAACUUGCGGUGGGUACGGGCAGACUAGAGUGUGGUAGGGGGAGACUGGAAUUCCUGGUGUAGCGGUGAAAUGCGCAGAUAUCAGGAGGAACACCGAUGGCGAAGGCAGGUCUCUGGGCCACUACUGACGCUGAGAAGCGAAAGCAUGGGGAGCGAACAGG